GACGAACGCUGGCGGCGUGCUUAACACAUGCAAGUCGAACGGAAAGGCCCUGCUUUUGUGGGGUGCUCGAGUGGCGAACGGGUGAGUAACACGUGAGUAACCUGCCCUUGACUUUGGGAUAACUUCAGGAAACUGGGGCUAAUACCGGAUAGGAGUUCCUGCUGCAUGGUGGGGGUUGGAAAGUUUCGGCGGUUGGGGAUGGACUCGCGGCUUAUCAGCUUGUUGGUGGGGUAGUGGCUUACCAAGGCUUUGACGGGUAGCCGGCCUGAGAGGGUGACCGGCCACAUUGGGACUGAGAUGCGGCCCAGACUCCUACGGGAGGCAGCAGUGGGGAAUAUUGCACAAUGGGCGGAAGCCUGAUGCAGCAACGCCGCGUGCGGGAUGACGGCCUUCGGGUUGUAUACCGCUUUCGCCUGUGACGAAGCGUGAGUGACGGUAAUGGGUAAAGAAGCACCGGCUAACUACGUG
rnacentral:rRNA from 1 species